rnacentral:tRNA from 1 species
GGCGAGUAGCGCAGCUUGGUAGCGCAACUGGUUUGGGACCAGUGGGUCGGAGGUUCGAAUC